AGCUCCAGUCCUUCUAUUCUGCCAUCUUAAUCCCGUCCCCAGGUUUAGUUGUUUCUAAACUUUGUUCUCAGGGAUGCAAUUGUUAGAAUAUAUCAUUUAUUUUCAGCCAUCAAAGAGCUUAUUAUCUAAUAGGUUAGGUGUCAGUAUUAAAUGUUUUAUUAACCUAGAACCUAAAUAAUUUAUCAGGGGGAAAUAUCCUACCAGCAAGAGUUGCCAGUGAAGCCUUUUCCACAACUAAAUUCAGUAAGUAGAGACUAAGAACGGAGAAAAAAUAGGCACUCCAGGUGGAUGUUAUAUCUUAAGCACAGGCCUGAGAAAUGCAAAUAACAAAGGGGGAAACCAACAACAAAACGAAAAGACAAUCUACGGAAUGGGGGGAGAUAUUUGCAAAUGAUAUGACCAAUAAGGGGUUAAUAUACAAAAUAUAUAAAUAUUUCAUACAACUCAAUAACAACAACAACCAACCCAAUUUUAAAAUUGGGCAGAAAAGCUCAAUAGAAUUUUCUCCAGAGAAGACAUAGGCACAAUAGGCACAUGAAAAGAUAUCUGUUCAACAUUGCUAAUUAUUAGGGAAAUGCAAAUUGAAACCACAAUGAGUUGUCACCUCACAUCUGUUAGAAUGACUAUCAUCAAAAAGAUAAGAAAUAAAGUGUUGGCAAUGAUGUGGAAAAAAGGGAAUCCUCAUACACUUUUAGUGGGAAUGUAAAUUGGUACAGCCACUAUGGAGAACAGUAUGGAGGUUCCUCAAACAAUUAAGAGUAGAACUACCAUAUGAUCAGCUAUCCUUUUUCUUGAUAUUUAUCCAAAGAAUAUGGGGGAAAAAACUAAUUCAAAAAGAUGUAUACACCUCUAUGUUCAUUGUAGCAUUAUUUAUAAUUACUGAGAUGUGGAAACAGCCUAAGUGCCCAUCAAAAAAUGAAUGGAUAAAGAAGAUGUGGUACACACACACACACAUGAACAUUAUUAAGCCAUAAAAAGGUCAAGUCUUGCCCAUUUUGACAGCAUAUGAGUAUAUUAUGCUAAAUGAAAUAUCAAAUGGAAAAUAGGUAAAUGCUGUAUGAUUUUACUCCUAUGUAGAAUAUAAAAAAACAAACAAAUGUGAAAACAAAAUAAAUGAAUAAACCAAACACACACACACACACACACACACACACACACACACACACACAGAACGGAGUAGUGGUUACCAAAAGGAAAGGGGUGGUGGUGGGAGGUGAAAUGGAUAAAAGGAAUCAACUGUAUAGUGACAGAUAGCGACUAAGUUUUUGGUGGGGAACAUGCUAUAGGGAAUACAGAUGUAGAAAUAUAAUGUACACACGAAACUUAUAUAAUGUCAUAAACCAAUGUUACCUCAAUUUUAAAAAAUUAGAAGUUUCUGGAUUUUAGAAAAGUAUUACAAUACCUGUACUCUAUGUUAUGUCACAUCCUUGCAGAGUCCAGAAAAUACCCUGUAAGCAAGUCAUUUAUAUUUGUGCAACACCAAGCGGGAUAAAGAUAAUAAUUUCUUGUAAGUUCAGGUCAGGUUUUGCUAACAAAUGAGCUAAACAUUUGGAUUUUUAGAGCUUCUGAAUUUUGGAAUUGUGGUUAAGGGUUAAUAUAACCAGAAUUGAUUGGGCUAGUGGGAUGUACUUGAACUAAUGUAUACAGGGUCUUGAAAGUCAGGCUGAGACAUUGAACCUCAUCCACUAAAUGCUUGGAGAACCCCUGGGGGUGGGAUUUGGAGGGGAUGAGUGCUGGAGGUAUCUGGGUGGUAUUUUAUGAAAGUUAUUCUAGAGACAUGGGGAAUCUGGUUAGCUUAUUCCAGUGGGCCCAAGAAUGAAGUGAAUGAGAAAACCUUUUUUUUUUUUUUUUUUCCCUGAAGAAGGGAUCUGUAGAAUUUCAAUAGAAUUUGAGAAGUGGUGAUGGGGAGGUGGGUGGAGAAGAGAGUGAAGAAGGGGGUGGGAGCCAAAGGUGAUUCCAAGGCUUGUGCUUAAGGAACUAUGAGCAGAAAGCAGAAAUCUUAAGGGAGGACUUGACUUUGUGGGGCUGACAGUGAUUUGUCUUGCCUGUGAUUUUACAGUUUGAUGGGACAAUCAGAUAGACAAGGUCAAGUCAGACACCGGAAGUGACUAUAGAUCUAAAGAGAAGCCAGAGCUCCAGGGUUACAUUUAGGGGAAAAUUAGAGAAAACCUUGUGAGGGAGGGGGAGCUAAGAAAGAUCAGGAAGAGUGGGUUGGAGUAAUGGUUGGGGAGUGGACACCAGGACACAAGAAAAAAGAAGGGUGGUAUGGCAAAGUCAGAGGACCCAGGGGGACGGGCAGGAAGACACCCUCUUCCUGAACCUAAGCAGCCAGUGUCUGGGCCACUGAUGGAUGAGGCAUGCAGUAAACUGUCAUGAAAAACCUGUGCCAAAAGACAAGGCAGAUGCAAUCAUGAAAUCAACUGGGAGCCAGAUGCAGGCUAAUAGGAACCCCCAGACCAGCACUGCUGUCGAAAACGAUCCUCUCUUCCUGCUCAUAGAUGCGCAUGCAAGUCUGAGCAGUAAUUGCAGCAACUAGGUGUGUUUGGUUCUGUUUAACCUUAAUAUUUCAUUUUGUUCUGAGGAGGACCUGAUUUAUUUGGAAUAGUUUAGGCCACAACUAAAACCAAAACCAAACUGAGAUUAUGAGCAGGUUUUAUUCAAUGAGCACCAAGAUCAUUUUCUGAGACUUCAGAAUUUUCUUUGUUCUGUUUUUCUUAUCAGAAUUGAUUAUUAGGUGAAAGUUAAUUUUUAAGCAAGUAUAUGUGUAUACAUGUGAAGAUUAGCUUAGAGUUUCCCAAUUGCUGAAAACAGUACACACACACACACACACACACACACACACACACACACACAUAUGUAUACUUAAGUAUACGUGUAUAUAUAUAUACAUACACACAUUUAAAAAUUUCUUUUAUUUUGGAAUUGACCUACUGUUUAUCUCAUUCUUUGUCCCUUUUUUUCUUUUCCUUUUUUUUAAAAAAACAAAGUGCCAUGCCUACAGGUGAGCAAACAGACCUACCAGUACUUUGGCCUUUCAGUCUUAGCAGGAAAAUAAAUCACUGGGAGAAAUCAAUAGAAUUCAGUUUUUUAACAUUAUUAAGUUUCGUUAAUUGUUAGCACUUUAAGACAUUUUCCUUUUAUGGAAAAUUUCAAUAACUUUGGAGGUUAACUAUUCAGUUUGAGAUAAAAUAUUAGCAGUUUGUGUGGUGAUUGUUUAAAAACUUUUGCUCUGCAAAUAUUGAUUGCCUACUGAAUGCCAGCUACUCCAGGCAUUAAGAGGACACACUCCUCACCCCUGAGUUUAUAGCGGGCAGGGAGGGAGCAUCCUUACACAGGUGGGUCGCAGAGUCAGAGGCCCUGGGUGCACAGUUAUCAGUGGUUCUGCAGCAGUGCUAGUGACUGCUUCUCUCUGCUGGGAUCUGGGAUGUAUCUCUAAGGCAGGGCAGGUGGCAGCUAAUGAAGCUCUUGAAGGAUGGUGAGGAGAUCAGACCAAGAGGGAGAGAAGAACAUUCCAGGCAGAAGGAAUAAUGUGCCAGCUGCAUGACCGGCCAGGCCUGUCAAAAUGAGUGAGAAAUUUAGUGUGCACGGGGCCUAGGUUGUAUGGGGAAAACAAGGACCAAGGACCAAAAAGAUAGAGAUUGGCAGCAGUUUGAGAAGAGGCACCUGAGUACACAAAACCCUUAGGAUUUGACUCCCUCUAGGCAGUAGAUCAUCCUAGAAGGCUUUUAAGCAAAGACAUCUUCAUUUUAGAAAAACAGUUCUGGGCUAGUGUGGUGAUAGGGGGCCCAGCUGGGCACUUGCACUGGCUCCUGCAGGUGGUACCAUUUAUUGAUUUAGCAUACAUUUUGCAUCCAGUGUCUAUCUGUUAAGUGUCUCUUUUGUGCCAAGUGCUGCAUUUUGUGAUUUGUGGUUCUGCAGAUUUUCCUGCUUAGUUGUCUUUGUGAUCAGCAUACCCCAUAAACGUACGAACCACAUAAGUCAAUGUAUUUACCCUCAAGUAAAAUGUUCCCGACAAAGCUCUUUGUGAAAUAUUGCAGUAGGUUGCUGCUUUUGCACCUAUAUGAUCCUAAGCUUCUGUCUGUUGCAAUAUUUUUAUGUAUAUCAUUUACUAUUUUAGAAAUAUAGAAUGUUAGAGCCCCAAAGAUCUUAGAUGUCAUCUGGGACAAAGUCUUCCUUACACACAUAAAGGAUUUCUAACCUAGAAAAAUGAAGCUGCGUGUCACUUAGCUUGUUGAUUCAGGGGCUGGAAAUUUGAAAUUCUUGAAUUUUGAGAUGCUAAGGACAAGAAUUACACAUUAGGUGUACACCGUAUUUGUUGAGAAAGGGAAGGACAUGACUUGUUCAUGGCCUCUGCAUCUCACGUUCCUUCACCUGACCUGGCUUUACUGCUUUCCCACAGUCCCUUCUAGAAAGUUUUUUAUUCACAGUUCAACCUGUGAUCCAUUUUUCCAAUGAUUUGGUAGAUGGUGAGAAUAAGAAUUAAAUUUCAUUGUCAAAUGAUAAAUCUGGUUAUAGUCAACUACCACUAAUAAUAUACUUAUGAGGGUUUUAAAACCUUGCCAUCCUAUAGCAUCAGGUGUAAUGAACACAUGCUGCCCUAGUUUUGAGAAAAGUUAAGAAAUCUUUAGGUAUAUGAUAAAUGAGAGUUGAGCCUCCCUCUCUGGGGCCUGCCUGAACCACAGUCUCUGAGUGGGUCUUCCUUCAUUUACAGCCACAGGCUCCAUCCGAAGUUUACAGACAGGGGUGGGAGAGCUCCAUGGAGAAACCAGAUUCUGGCAUGGAAAGGACUACUGCAAUUUUGUCUUCAAAGACUGGGUCCAACUUGAUAAACCUUUUGCUGGUGAGUACCAUGUUGUAGAUUUCUGCUUAUAUUUUUGUCUUUUAUUUGUCAGCAUCUCAACAAAUCUGCAUGUUCAUGACCUCACAGCUUUUGUUUUGCUUUAUUUUGUUUUGAAUAUUUGGUAAAACAUUGGAGACUAGGAUUCAGUCAUAUACUUGAGGGCUUUCCCUUGUAAGUAUAG
rnacentral:lncRNA from 1 species